CCCCAGUCGCCCCCAUAUCUCUCUCUCUUCGGAGAGGUAGAAAAAUCUUCCAUCUUGCACAGAUCGCCCAUGGAGUCCUCUAGCCUGUACAACCGGGUGGUCUAAUCUUCGAAAGGGGAGUAGUCUUUGGUUUUGGUAUUGCGAGUUUGAAGAAGUUCCUUAUGGGUUGAUCAACUUUUCAGGGCUCAAUUUCUUCAUCUGGAAAAUGACUUUCACUGUGCUUAAAUAAGUUAUAACCAAGAUGAGGAGUUUGGUAAUGAGAUGCUUCAGUUUUCGCAAGGACGAGGAUAUUGAGAGGCAAGGUCCCAAGAAUGACGGCAUCAAUGGUUCAGAACAGGAGAUUAAAAUAAUAGAAAUGGCAACUAGGUUGAUGGUCAACCCAGAUGAUCUGAUGGUCAAAAUUCCUUCAAUAACGAGGUUG